AUUGAACGCUGGCGGCAGGCCUAACACAUGCAAGUCGAGCGGAGCGGCGGACGGGUGAGUAAUGCCUAGGAAUCUGCCUGUUAGUGGGGGAUAACGUCCGGAAACGGGCGCUAAUACCGCAUACUAUCAGAUGAGCCUCGGUGGGAUUAGCUAGUUGGUGGGGUAAAGGCUUACCAAGGCGACGAUGCGUAACUUGUCUGAGAGGAUGAUCAGUCACACUGGAACUGAGACACGGUCCAGAAUCCUACGGGAGGCAGCAGUGGGGAAUAUUGGGCAAUGGGCGAAAGCCUGAUCCAGCCAUGCCGCGUGUGUGAAGAAGGUCUUCGGAUUGUAAAGCACUUUAGGUAGGGAGGCGUUACCAACAGAAUAAGCACCGGCUAACUUCGUGCCAGCAGCCGCGGUAAUUC
rnacentral:rRNA from 1 species